UCACGAAAGUGGAUUGUACUAGAAGUCUGCGCGCUAACCCGCAAGGGAGGCAGCGGCCCAAGGUAUGAUUCAUGACUGGGGUG
rnacentral:rRNA from 1 species